rnacentral:tRNA from 1 species
AUGGCUAAGUGGUUUAAAAGCACUGGUGGCUGUUCCAGAGAAUCCAGGUUCAAUUCCUGGU